GGAUACCAAACUUUAAAGUGCGAUACUAUAGAACCAGCGUUCGGACACCGAUGCACCUUUAACCGUAGCCCCAAUGUCGGUUAAGGGUGUUUACGUGUACUAGUAAACUAACCUCAAUGUGUUUAGAAGCUCUUUGUCACCACCUUCCUCCUCCACCUUCCUCCUCCAAUAACCAAAGUACUGCCACCACGGAUUACAAUCACCACUAGAUCACCACUUUACACAACACAAGCUCUCAACUCUCAACUCAGCAAACAAUGAAAAAGUGAAAGUGAAGAACAUGCUAUUGUGAAGAAAGUGAAAAAAUGGGAAGGGGAUGCAUGUAGGGUUUAUACAACCAGAGGGGGUUUAGGGUUGCUGGUUAUUAGUUG
rnacentral:lncRNA from 1 species